AUCUCUGACCAUUUCUUCAUUACUUGUAACUUACAUAUUACUGCCAGUACACCUCCAACCCCUCUACCUGUUACUUUCAGACGAAACCUACGCUCCCUUUCACCCUCCCAUCUUUCCUCUGUAGUGUCCUCCUCUCUUCCCUCUACAACCCUUUUCUCAUCUCUAGAAGUUAAUGCAGCCACUGACACCUUAUGCUCUACUUUAACUUCUUGCCUAGACGCUAUAUGUCCUCUCUCUUCCAGGCUAGCACGGGCCACCCCUCCUAACCCCUGGCUAUCCGAUGUUCUCCGUGAACAUCGCUCCAAACUUAGGGCAGCAGAGAGAAAAUGGCGCAAAUCUAAAGAUCCUUCUGACUUGAAACAGUUCACUGGAUGCUAACCAGUCAGGGUUCAGGAGCGGCCACUCAACUGAAACUGCACUACUGUCAGUCACUGAAGCCUUUUUUGGAUUGCAAAAGCUGAUUCCAGAUCAUCGGUACUCAUUUUGCUGGAUCUUUCUGCUGCUUUUGAAACAGUCAAUCAUCAGAUCCUCCUGUCCACCCUCUCAUCACUGGGUAUCACAGGGAUUCCUCUUCGCUGGUUUGAAUCCUAUCUCACAGAUGAUCCAACAGUAGCUGCACGGAUCUCAGGCUGCUUGGCGGACAUCUCGGAGUGGAUGAAAGAACAUCAUCUACAGCUCAACUUGGCAAAGACUGAGCUCCUUAUUUUCCCUGCCACUCCGACUCUACAGCAUGAUUUUACCAUCAACUUAGGUACUUUAACAAUUACCCCAUCAAGUUCUGCCAGAAAUCUUGGUGUUAUCUUUGAUGACCAGCUGACUUUCAAAGACCACAUUGCUAAAACUGCUCGAUCUUGCAGGUUUGCCCUACACAACAUUAGAAAGAUCAGGCCCUUUCUAACAGAG